GGCGAACGGGUGAGUAACGCGUUGGUGACCUGCCCCGAAGUGCGGGAUAACUCCGGGAAACUGGAGCUAAUACCUCAUGUGGUCAGUGGAUUUAGAAACCACUGUCUAAAGGUCUUCGGAUCGCUUCGGGAGGGGCCUGCGUCCCAUCAGCUAGUUGGCAGGGUAAUGGCCCACCAAGGCGACGACGGGUAGGGGGCCUGAGAGGGUGACCCCCCACAAUGGAACUGAAACACGGUCCAUACACCUACGGGUGGCAGCAGUAGGGAAUAUUGCACAAUGGGCGAAAGCCUGAUGCAGCAACGCCGCGUGCGCGAUGAAGGCCUUCGGGUUGUAAAGCGCUUUUCUGAGGGAAGAGGAAGGACGGUACCUCAGGAAUAAGUCUCGGCUAACUACGUGCCAGCAGCCGCGGUAACACGUAGGAGGCAAGCGUUAUCCGGAUUUACUGGGCGUAAAGCGCGUGCAGGCGGUUUGGUAAGUUGGAUGUGAAAGCUCCUGGCUCAACUGGGAGAGGCCGUUCAAUACUGCCAGACUAGAGGACGAUAGAGGAAGGUAGAAUUCC
rnacentral:rRNA from 1 species